GGGGUGAUGUCAUUUGUCAUUGAGCUGUAGCAAGAGAAGGAUGAACGUCAGGAAGCUGAACUGUUUUAAUUAUAAUAAACUUAUACAUGACAGUCAUUAAUUCAGAAGGACGAGGCUAACAAACCAGCAUUUCAGUCCAUAACAGUCACAAAGAGUAAAUACAUAAACACUUUAGGCAGAACUGCAAGUACUAAAAAAGCAGCCACUUCUCAUCACCUGUGGUGGUAGCUGCAUCAUGCUAUGAGAGUACUCAGGCAGACUCACAAGACUAAGGAAAUGAAUAAAUAUUUUUAACAUUUAAUAAAU